GGGCCCGCACAAGCGGUGGAGUAUGUGGUUUAAUUCGAUGCAACGCGAAGAACCUUACCAGGGUUUGACAUCCUGCGAAUCUCUUGGAAACAGGAGAGUGCCUUCGGGAACGCAGUGACAGGUGGUGCAUGGCUGUCGUCAGCUCGUGUCGUGAGAUGUUGGGUUAAGUCCCGCAACGAGCGCAACCCACGUCUUUAGUUGCCAGCAUUUAGUUGGGCACUCUAGAGAGACUGCCGGUGAUAAACCGGAGAAGGUGUGGAUGACGUCAAGUCAUCAUGCCCCUUACAUCUGGGCUACACACGUCCUACAUGCAACAUACAAAGGGCAGCGAACCCCGCGAGGGUAAGCAAAUCUCAAAAAGUGUUGCUCAG
rnacentral:rRNA from 1 species